rnacentral:rRNA from 1 species
UACAGAGGUCCCAAGCGUUGUUCGGAUUCACUGGGCGUAAAGGGUGCGUAGGUGGCCAGGUAAGUUCGGUGUGAAAGCUCGGAGCUUAACUCCGAAAUGGCAUUGAAUACUAUCUGGCUAGAGGGUCGGAGGGGAGACUGGAAUUCUCGGUGUAGCAGUGAAAUGCGUAGAUAUCGAGAGGAACACCAGUGGCGAAGGCGGCAUCCUGGACCGGCAUUGACGCUGAGGAGCGAAAGCUAGGGGAGCAAACGGG